rnacentral:rRNA from 1 species
UGCAAGUCGAGCGGACUUGCUGGAGCUUGCUCCAGCAGGUUAGCGGCGGACGGGUGAGUAACACGUGGGCAACCUGCCUGUAAGACUGGGAUAACUCCGGGAAACCGGAGCUAAUACCGGAUAGUAUCUUGAACCGCAUGGUUCAAGUUGGAAAGACGGUUUCGGCUGUCACUUACAGAUGGGCCCGCGGCGCAUUAGCUAGUUGGUGAGGUAAUGGCUCACCAAGGCAACGAUGCGUAGCCGACCUGAGAGGGUGAUCGGCCACACUGGGACUGAGACACGGCCCAGACUCCUACGGGAGGCAGCAGUAGGGAAUCUUCCGCAAUGGACGAAAGUCUGACGGAGCAACGCCGCGUGAGUGAUGAAGGUUUUCGGAUCGUAAAACUCUGUUGUUAGGGAAGAACAAGUGCGAGAGUAACUGCUCGCACCUUGACGGUACCUAACCAGAAAGCCACGGCUAACUACGUGCCAGCAGCCGCGGUAAUACGUAGGUGGCAAGCGUUGUCCGGAAUUAUUGGGCGUAAAGCGCGCGCAGGCGGUUUCUUAAGUCUGAUGUGAAAGCCCCCGGCUCAACCGGGGAGGGUCAUUGGAAACUGGGAAACUUGAGUGCAGAAGAGGAGAGUGGAAUUCCACGUGUAGCGGUGAAAUGCGUAGAGAUGUGGAGGAACACCAGUGGCGAAGGCGACUCUCUGGUCUGUAACUGACGCUGAGGCGCGAAAGCGUGGGGAGCGAACAGGAUUAGAUACCCUGGUAGUCCACGCCGUAAACGAUGAGUGCUAAGUGUUAGAGGGUUUCCGCCCUUUAGUGCUGCAGCUAACGCAUUAAGCACUCCGCCUGGGGAGUACGGUCGCAAGACUG